rnacentral:rRNA from 1 species
GACGAACGCUGGCGGCGUGCUUAACACAUGCAAGUCGAACGGAAAGGCCCUGCUUUUGUGGGGUGCUCGAGUGGCGAACGGGUGAGUAACACGUGAGUAACCUGCCCUUGACUUUGGGAUAACUUCAGGAAACUGGGGCUAAUACCGGAUAGGAGCUCCUGCUGCAUGGUGGGGGUUGGAAAGUUUCGGCGGUUGGGGAUGGACUCGCGGCUUAUCAGCUUGUUGGUGGGGUAGUGGCUUACCAAGGCUUUGACGGGUAGCCGGCCUGGGAGGGUGACCGGCCACAUUGGGACUGAGGUACGGCCCAGACGCCUACGGGAGGCAGCGGUGGGGAAUAUUGCACAAUAGGCGGAAGCCUGAUGCAGCGACGCCGCGUGCGGGAUGACGGCCUUCGGGUUGUAAACCGCUUUCGCCUGUGACGAAGAGUGAGUGACGGUAAUGGGUAAAGAAGCACCGGCUAACUACGUG